rnacentral:rRNA from 1 species
CCUACGGGUGGCAGCAGUGAGGAAUAUUGGUCAAUGGGCGCGAGCCUGAACCAGCCAAGUCGCGUGAGGGAAGACGGUCCUAUGGAUUGUAAACCUCUUUUGUCGGGGAGCAAAAGACGCCACGCGUGGCGUUCCGAGAGUACCCGAAGAAAAAGCAUCGGCUAACUCCGUGCCAGCAGCCGCGGUAAUACGGAGGGUGCGAGCGUUAAUCGGAAUUACUGGGCGUAAAGCGCUCGUAGGCGGUAUGUCAAGUCAAGGGUGAAAUCCCCGCGCUCAACGUGGGAACUGCCUUUGAAACUGGCAAACUGGAGUGUGUGAGAGGAUAGUGGAAUUCCAGGUGUAGGAGUGAAAUCCGUAGAUAUCUGGAGGAACAUCAGUGGCGAAGGCGACUAUCUGGCACAUAACUGACGCUGAGGAGCGAAAGCGUGGGUAGCAAACAGGAUUAGAUACCCCAGUAGUC